rnacentral:rRNA from 1 species
CCAAUAGCGUAUAUUAAAGUUGUUGCAGUUAAAAAGCUCGUAGUUGAAUUUCGGGACUAAUAUGUCGGUCGUACUUUGUACGUACUAACAUUAUUGGUUUCUCCCUUCUGACGAACCACGAUGUCAUUAAUUUGGUGUCGUGGGAAAUCAGGACUGUUACUUUGAAAAAAUUAGAGUGUUUAAAGCAAGCUCGCGCUUGAAUACAUUAGCAUGGAAUAAU